rnacentral:rRNA from 1 species
AAGCUGGAAUCGCUAGUAAUCGCGGAUCAGAAUGCCGCGGUGAAUACGUUCCCGGGUCGUUGUACACACCGCCCGUCACACCAUGGGAGUCGGAAAUGCCCGAAGUCUGUGAGCUAACGAAAGAGGCAGCAGUCGAAGGUAGAAUCAAUGAUUGGGGUGAAGUCGUAACAAGGUACC